GGAGUGUCGCUCAGUGGUAGAGCAUAUGCUUAGCAUGCAUUAGGCCCUGGGUUCGAUCCCCAGCACACACA
rnacentral:tRNA from 1 species